UACGGAGGGAGCUAGCGUUGUUCGGAAUUACUGGGCGUAAAGCGCACGUAGGCGGCUUUGCAAGUUAGAGGUGAAAGCCCGGGGCUCAACUCCGGAAUUGCCUUUAAAACUGCAUCGCUAGAGUUGUGGAGAGGUAAGUGGAAUUCCGAGUGUAGAGGUGAAAUUCGUAGAUAUUCGGAAGAACACCAGUGGCGAAGGCGACUUACUGGACACAUACUGACGCUGAGGUGCGAAAGCGUGGGAGCAACAGG
rnacentral:rRNA from 1 species